CUACUACUCCCUCCGUCCAAAAAUACUUGUCAUUGAAAUGGAUGUAUCUAGAUGUAUUUUAGUUCUAGACACAUCCAUUUUGAUGACAAGUAAUUCCGUAUGGAGGGAGUAUGAU
rnacentral:pre_miRNA from 1 species